CAGUCGACGAAGUCUUCAGGAAGCUUGCUUCCAAAAGACUUAGUGGCGAACGGGUGAGUAACACGUAGGUAACCUGCCCAUGUGUCCGGGAUAACUGCUGGAAACGGUAGCUAAAACCGGAUAGGUAUACGGAGCGCAUGCUCUGUAUAUUAAAGCGCCCAUCAAGGCGUGAACAUGGAUGGACCUGCGGCGCAUUAGCUAGUUGGUGAGGUAACGGCCCACCAAGGCGAUGAUGCGUAGCCGGCCUGAGAGGGUAAACGGCCACAUUGGGACUGAGACACGGCCCAAACUCCUACGGGAGGCAGCAGUAGGGAAUUUUCGUCAAUGGGGGAAACCCUGAACGAGCAAUGCCGCGUGAGUGAAGAAGGUCUUCGGAUCGUAAAGCUCUGUUGUAAGUGAAGAACGGCUCAUAGAGGAAAUGCUAUGGGAGUGACGGUAGCUUACCAGAAAGCCACGGCUAACUACGUGCCAGCAGCCGCGGUAAUACGUAGGUGGCAAGCGUUAUCCGGAAUCAUUGGGCGUAAAGGGUGCGUAGGUGGCGUACUAAGUCUGUAGUAAAAGGCAAUGGCUCAACCAUUGUAAGCUAUGGAAACUGGUAUGCUGGAGUGCAGAAGAGGGCGAUGGAAUUCCAUGUGUAGCGGUAAAAUGCGUAGAUAUAUGGAGGAACACCAGUGGCGAAGGCGGUCGCCUGGUCUGUAACUGACACUGAGGCACGAAAGCGUGGGGAGCAAAUAGGAUUAGAUACCCUAGUAGUCCACGCCGUAAACGAUGAGAACUAAGUGUUGGAGGAAUUCAGUGCUGCAGUUAACGCAAUAAGUUCUCCGCCUGGGGAGUAUGCACGCAAGUGUGAAACUCAAAGGAAUUGACGGGGGCCCGCACAAGCGGUGGAGUAUGUGGUUUAAUUCGAAGCAACGCGAAGAACCUUACCAGGCCUUGACAUGGAAACAAAUACCCUAGAGAUAGGGGGAUAAUUAUGGAUCACACAGGUGGUGCAUGGUUGUCGUCAGCUCGUGUCGUGAGAUGUUGGGUUAAGUCCCGCAACGAGCGCAACC
rnacentral:rRNA from 1 species